rnacentral:rRNA from 1 species
CUAACCAUGCAGUCGAGCGGUUGAGGGGAGCUUGCUCCCUGAUUCAGCGGCGGACGGGUGAGUAAUGCCUAGGAAUCUGCCUAUUAGUGGGGGACAACGUUUCGAAAGGAACGCUAAUACCGCAUACGUCCUACGGGAGAAAGCAGGGGACCUUCGGGCCUUGCGCUAAUAGAUGAGCCUAGGUCGGAUUAGCUAGUUGGUGGGGUAAAGGCUCACCAAGGCGACGAUCCGUAACUGGUCUGAGAGGAUGAUCAGUCACACUGGAACUGAGACACGGUCCAGACUCCUACGGGAGGCAGCAGUGGGGAAUAUUGGACAAUGGGCGAAAGCCUGAUCCAGCCAUGCCGCGUGUGUGAAGAAGGUCUUCGGAUUGUAAAGCACUUUAAGUUGGGAGGAAGGGUUGUAGAUUAAUACUCUGCAAUUUUGACGUUACCGACAGAAUAAGCACCGGCUAACUCUGUGCCAGCAGCCGCGGUAAUACAGAGGGUGCAAGCGUUAAUCGGAAUUACUGGGCGUAAAGCGCGCGUAGGUGGUUUGUUAAGUUGGAUGUGAAAGCCCCGGGCUCAACCUGGGAACUGCAUCCAAAACUGGCAAGCUAGAGUACGGUAGAGGGUGGUGGAAUUUCCUGUGUAGCGGUGAAAUGCGUAGAUAUAGGAAGGAACACCAGUGGCGAAGGCGACCACCUGGACUGAUACUGACACUGAGGUGCGAAAGCGUGGGGAGCAAACAGGAUUAGAU